rnacentral:rRNA from 1 species
UACGGGGGGGGCAAGCGUUGUUCGGAAUUACUGGGCGUAAAGGGCUUGUAGGUGGCCAACUAAGUCAGACGUGAAAUCCCUCGGCUUAACCGGGGAACUGCGUCUGAUACUGGAUGGCUAGAGUUUGGGAGAGGGAUGCGGAAUUCCAGGUGUAGCGGUGAAAUGCGUAGAUAUCUGGAGGAACACCGGUGGCGAAGGCGGCAUCCUGGACCGGCAUUGACGCUGAUGAGCGAAAGCCAGGGGAGCAAACGGG